CCUACGGGAGGCAGCAGUGGGGAAUCUUGCACAAUGGAGGAAACUCUGAUGCAGCGACGCCGCGUGGACGACGAAGCCCUUCGGGGUGUGAAGUCCUUUCGACCGGAACGAUAAUGACGGUACCGGUGGAAGAAGCUGCGGCUAACUACGUGCCAGCAGCCGCGGUAAUACGUAGGCAGCAAGCGUUGUUCGGAAUUACUGGGCGUAAAGAGUUCGUAGGCGGUGCGGCAAGUUCGGUGUGAAAUCUCCCGGCUCAACUGGGAGGGUGCGCUAAAUACUGCCGUGCUCGAGUAUAGGAGAGGUAAGCGGAAUUCCUGGUGUAGCGGUGAAAUGCGUAGAUAUCAGGAGGAACACCUGUGGUGUAGACGGCUUACUGGACUAUAACUGACGCUGAGGAACGAAAGCGUGGGUAGCAAACAGGAUUAGAUACCCUGGUAGUCCACGCCCUAAACGAUGCAUACUUGGUGUGAGCAUCUACUGUUCGUGUCGUAGCUACGUCGUAGUAUGCGCCGUCGGGUAGGUACGGUCGCGAGGCGUGAACGUACGAAGGUAAGUUAGUACGGUUCGUUGUAGACGUUAGCGACGGACGACGACGAGGGAGGAGG
rnacentral:rRNA from 1 species